CCUACGGGAGACAGCAGUGAGGAAUAUUGGUCAAUGGGCGCGAGCCUGAACCAGCCAAGUAGCGUGAAGGAUGACUGCCCUACGGGUUGUAAACUUCUUUUAUAAAGGAGUAAAGUGAGGCAUGUGUGCCUUUUUGUAUGUACUUUAUGAAUAAGGAUCGGCUGACUCCGUGCCAGCAGCCGCGGUAAUACGGAGGAUCCGAGCGUUAUCCGGAUUUAUUGGGUUUAAGGGGAGCGUAGAUGGGUUGUUAAGCCGGCGGUAAAGAUUCAGGGCUCAACCCUGUCGAGCCGUCGAAACUGGCAGUCUGGAGUGGGCGAGAGGUGUGCGGAAUGCGUGGUGUAGCGGUGAAAUGCAUAGAUAUCACGCAGAACGCCGAUUGCGAAGGCAGCAUACCGGCGCGCAACUGACGCUGAGGCACGAAAGCGUGGGGAUCGAACAGGAUUAGAUACCCUGGUAGUC
rnacentral:rRNA from 1 species